CAGUCAACUUAGUCCAGGAAAUUGACACAGGUGAAGCAAUCACAGUCGGCCGAGGCCAGGAUAUUGAGACAGGUGCAGCAAUCAAAACGGAUGAAGUGAAACAAGUAGAGCAAUCGGUGGGAAAAAUCAGUGUGGGUACAACAGAUGACCGACGUCGGGUAAUCAACCCAGCUAUAGCAAUUGAAACAGGUGGAAAAUUUACACAGGAUGUCCAUAACAUCUGCAAAGCUGGUGGACUUGGACAGUGACACCGUGUCCUCCUCCGCCUCACGGUAGUCCAUGCUGGGCCUGUCCAGGUCGAAAGUCGCCGACGCCGUCAUUGAGAUCGGCGGCAUUGGGUCAGGGACCAACUCGGACACCACGGAUACCAUGUCCUUGUCAUUGUCUUCUUCUUCCUCAUCCUCCUCCUCUUCUUCGGUGACAUCGCUGAUGACAAAUGAGGCAGCUGCCGUAGUGGCCGGUUGAUAAGGGGCGGUCUCGAAGGGAGCCAUAGAGAAGCUCAUGGUGGUGUCAUCGGGAGAAAGAAGGUCAGGGGUUAAGGGGUUGGAGCCUGGAAUUAAAACAAGAAUUGAACCAUCAACUGCUGGUUUACACAGCAUUAAGUAGUAGAGCCAAUGAAAAAGCUGUAUAUAAAAGAUAAUAAUCCUCAAUUUUGAGAGAGGUAUUGAUUUAUUAACUGUAUUCUGUGGUACUAAGAGAUGUCUUUAAUAUGUUGUUCUGUCUCAUCUAUCUCUUGGGACUUCAACCACACUAAUAACCAUGUUAUUAAAUCAUUAUUAAUCAA